rnacentral:rRNA from 1 species
AUUGAACGCUGGCGGCAUGCUUUACACAUGCAAGUCGAACGGCAGCGCGGGCUUCGGCCUGGCGGCGAGUGGCGAACGGGUGAGUAGUGCAUCGGAACGUGCCCAGUAGUGGGGGAUAGCCCGGCGAAAGCCGGAUUAAUACCGCAUACGACCUGAGGGUGAAAGCGGGGGGCCGAAAGGCCUCGCGCUAUUGGAGCGGCCGAUGUCGGAUUAGCUAGUUGGUGGGGUAAAGGCUUACCAAGGCGACGAUCCGUAGCUGGUCUGAGAGGACGACCAGCCACACUGGGACUGAGACACGGCCCAGACUCCUACGGGAGGCAGCAGUGGGGAAUUUUGGACAAUGGGGGCAACCCUGAUCCAGCCAUGCCGCGUGCGGGAAGAAGGCCUUCGGGUUGUAAACCGCUUUUGUUCGGGAAGAAAUCCUCUGGGCUAAUACCCCGGGGGGAUGACGGUACCGGAAGAAUAAGCACCGGCUAACUACGUG